CCUACGGGUGGCAGCAGUGGGGAAUAUUGCUCAAUGGGGGAAACCCUGAUGCAGCGACGCCGCGUGGAGGAUGAAGGGCCUCGGCGUGUAAAGCUCUUUUAAUAGAGAAGUAAAUGACGGUACCUGAAGAAUAAUCCCCGGCUAACUACGUUCCAGCAGCCGCGGUAAUCCGUAGGGGGCAGGCGUGAUCCGGAUUUACUGGGUGUAAUGGGGGCGUAUGCGGGUGAACAAGCCAGUUGUGAACGCCUGGGGCCCAACGCCAGAACUGCAGUUGGAACUGGGUGACUGGAGUGCAGGCGGGGCAGGCGGAAUUCGUGGUGUAGCGGUGAAAUGCGUAGAUAUCAGGAGGAACACCGAUGGCGAAGGCGGCCUGCUGGACUGCAACUGACGUUGAGGCCCGAAAGCGUGGGGAGCAAACAGGAUUAGAUACCCCGGUAGUC
rnacentral:rRNA from 1 species